UACAGAGGUCCCGAGCGUUUGUUCGGAUUCACUGGGCGUAAAGGGUGCGUAGGUGGCUUGGUAAGUUUGAUGUGAAAGCUCAGGGCUCAACCCUGAAAUGGCAUUGAAUACUACUGAGCUGGAGGUUUGGAGGGGGGACUGGAAUUCUCGGUGUAGCAGUGAAAUGCGUAGAUAUCGAGAGGAACACCUGAGGUGAAGACGGGUUGCUGGGCCAACACUGACGCUGAGGCGCGAAAGCCAGGGGAGCAAACGGG
rnacentral:rRNA from 1 species